GCCUUCGUGGUGUAAUGGUCAGCACACUGAGCCGGUAUUUCAGAGGUCCGUGGUUCAAUCCCCCGCGAAGGCG
rnacentral:tRNA from 1 species